GCGGCGGUCUGUGCCUGUAUCAGUGGGACUGCACGCGGUGGGCAGGCAUGGAGCGCUUCCUUGGCUUUGUCAAACAGAUCCGGAGGUCCAGGAGACGCAAGGGCAAAAAGUACCGUCCAGAAGAGGAUUAUCACGAGGGUUACGAGGAUGUCUAUUACUAUGCUUCCGAGCACCUGCACCAUGAGGGGCCCUACACUAAACACUCCAAUCCCUCCAGGCCACCAGAUGGCGCUCUGGCAAUUAGGAGACAGAGUAUUCCAGAUGAGUUUAAGGGCACCAGCACCGUGGAGCUGAUCAAGAAAGAAGGCACUACCCUGGGCCUGACAGUAUCCGGAGGCAUCGACAAAGACGGCAAGCCCCGCGUCUCCAACCUGCGCCAGGGCGGCAUCGCUGCCAGGAGUGACCAGUUGAACGUAGGGGACUAUAUAAAGUCUGUGAAUGGAAUCAACUUGACAAAGUUUCGUCAUGAUGAGAUUAUUAGUCUGCUGAAGAAUGUGGGGGAGAGGGUCGUCCUGGAGGUCGAGUACGAGCUACCGCCUGUCUCUGUACAGGGCUCAGGGGUCAUGUUCAAAAACGUGGAGGUGACGUUGCACAAAGAAGGCAAUACAUUCGGUUUCGUCAUCAGAGGAGGCGCCCAUGAAGACAGAAACAAAUCUCGCCCAGUUACCAUAACAACAAUCAGACCCGGCGGUCCAGCUGACAGGGAAGGUACCAUCAAACCAGGCGACAGGCUGCUCAGUAUUGACGGAAUUCGUCUGCAUGGAGCAUCUCACGCAGAGGCCAUGAGCAUCCUCAAACAAUGCGGCCAGGAAGCCACUCUUCUCAUAGAGUAUGAUGUGUCAGUCAUGGAUUCUGUAGCCACAGCUUCAGGCCCGCUGCUGGUGGAGGUGGCCAAGUCCAUGGGCUCCAGUUUAGGUCUGGCUCUCUCUACCUCCAUGUACUGCAAUAAGCAGGUCAUCAUCAUUGACAAGGUCAAACCAGCCAGCAUCGCCGAUAGGUGUGGUGCACUGCAUGCAGGUGAUCACAUCCUCUCGGUGGAUGGCACAAGUAUGGAGUAUUGCACACUGGCCGAGGCCACCCAGCUGCUAGCUAGCGCUUCUGAACACGUUAAAAUGGAGAUUCUGCCCCACCACCAGACAAGGCUGGCCCUCAAAGGACCUGAACAUGUCAAGGUGCAGAGGAGUAACCGGCCAUUGCCCUGGGAAUCCGGAACCAACAACAACAGCAACUUCCUUCCCUAUCAACACUAUAACACCUACCACCCCGACCAGUCCCGCAGCCAGAACAAGCAGAAAACCUCUCCAAACAACCCCCCUCUGGGUUCAUCCUUCUCUCCCACCUCCAUGAGUGCCUACAGUCUGAGCUCACUCAACAUGAACACGCUGCCUCGCACCAUGUAUCCCACAAGUCCCCGCGGCACCAUGAUGAGACGCAAACUGAAGAAGAAAGACUACAAGAGCUCAAUGUCUCUGGCUUCCAGUACUGUAGGACUGGCAGGUCAGGUGGUCCACACAGAAACAACAGAGGUGACCCUCAUCAGCGACUCCAUCAUGGGCUUUGGGAUCCAGCUGCAGGGAGGAGUCUUUGCCACAGAAACUCUAUCCUCUCCUCCACUCAUUGCUUACAUAGACCCCGACAGCCCGGCGGAGAGGUGCGGCAUCCUGCAGAUUGGCGACCGCAUCCUGUCAAUAAACGGCAUCCCCACUGAGGACAGCACGCUGGAGGAGACCAAUCAGCUGCUGAGGGACUCCAGCAUCACCAGCAAAGUCACACUAGAGAUUGAGUUUGACGUAGCAGAAUCGGUUAUCCCAAGCAGUGGAACCUUCCAUGUGAAGCUACCAAAGAAGCCAGGUGUGGAGCUGGGCAUCACCAUCAGCUCUCCUUCCAGUAGGAAGCCCGGAGAUGCACUCAUCAUCUCUGACAUAAAGAAAGGCAGCGUGGCGCACAGGACGGGCACCCUGGAGCUGGGGGAUAAGCUUCUGGCAAUAGACAACAUCCGUCUGGACAACUGCUCCAUGGAGGACGCCGUUCAAAUCCUGCAGCAGUGUGAAGACCUGGUUAAACUCAAGAUCCGCAAGGACGAGGACAACUCAGGUAUCCUACGUGAUGGCAGUGUUGAUAGGGACGCCCGUGUGCUGUUGGCCUGUGUUGCAGACGAGCAGGAGAGCUCUGGCGCCAUCAUUUACACUGUGGAGCUGAAACGCUACGGCGGGCCGCUGGGCAUCACUAUCUCGGGCACCGAGGAGCCCUUCGACCCCAUCAUCAUCUCUAGCCUCACUAAAGGUGGCCUGGCCGAGAGGACCGGUGCCAUCCACAUCGGUGAUCGCAUCCUGGCCAUUAACAGCAACAGUCUGAAGGGCAAACCUCUCAGUGAGGCCAUUCACCUGCUGCAGAUGGCAGGGGAGUCCGUCACACUGAAGAUCAAGAAGCAGGGAGAAUUGGCAAGCCCAAAGCAGCCCUCAAUAACGGGGCGUUUGAACGAUCUGAGCGAUAUGGAGGACGACGGUCAGGCUGGGCAGAAACCCGGUAAACUCUCGGACAUCUAUUCCACCACCAUUCCCAGCGUAGACAGCGCAGUGGAAUCCUGGGACGGCUCCGCCAUUGACGCCACCUUCAGCACCCAAGCUCCCACAGGUUUCCAGGCUUCGGGCUACAGUUUCCACAGCCAUGAGUGGAGGAAUGCCAAGCCCGGCCGGGGCAGCCUCUCCCCGGUGAACAGCAGCCGGCAGAGGAACAACAUCCUGCCGGACUUUGGACUCAGUGUGGAUGAAUGGGACAGGCCAAGCGCUAGCGGGGCAUCCACGCUGCCCACCGGUUUAAUCUCAGACAGCAGGUUCACUGUGGGACACGACGGGACUGAGCCAGACCAGGAAGAGAACUUCUGGUCCCAAGCACUCGAAGACCUGGAAACGUGCGGCCAAUCCGGGAUCCUGCGUGAACUUGAGGCCACCAUCAUGUCUGGCAGCUCUUUGAGUCUAAACCACGAUCCUGCGCCCACCCGAAGCCAUCUGGGCCGCCAAGCCAGCUUUCAGGAACGUGGCAGCAACAAACCACAAUACACACAGGCCAACCGCAGCAACACGCUGCCCACCGAUGUCGGCAGAAAAGCUUUCGCCAUGAGGAGAAUGAAGCAGGAGAUCAAAGACAUCAUGUCGCCCAGCCCGGUUGAGCUUCAUAAGGUGAGCCUUUUGAAGGACUCGGACCUUGAGGACUUCGGGUUUAGCGUGUCUGACGGAGUCUUGGAGAAAGGGGUUUAUGUAAACAAUAUCCGUCCAGGCGGCCCUGCUGAAAUCGGAGGACUCAAGCCAUACGAUAGAAUGCUACAGAUAAACCACGUCCGGACUAGAGACUUUGACUGCUGCUUAGUGGUUCCUCUUAUAGCAGAGUCUGGGAACAAACUGGAUCUAGUCAUAAGCCGAAACCCAGUUUCCUCGCAGCCCUCAGAACUGAACCCAUUGUCCAAUGACGAGGCAGCGAACUGGACUGAUACCGGGGACCCUCUCGAGCAGCCCACCGCAGGGCUGGAGCAGGGCCAGCACAACUCCACGCUAGCGGGACUAGAGGACAGAGACCCCAACAAGACUUUAUAGCAGAACUCUUCCCAGGUGCCUGCAGUGGAGCGCUCCUCCUCAUGGUGCUAAAGCGAACCCUCCCCUCCCUAAAACGGCUCCCUCUAGUGGAGGAAAACGAGAGGGGCUUGUUGUCCUAUAGCACACACCCAGUCCCUUUCCUAAGUCAGAGCAUGAACCACCAUGACUAAGAGGUCUUUUCCUGACAAGCUGGGUGUGUUUUUACCCUGUGAAAAUGGCGGCGAAAACCACACUGACCUCUUGGAAAACCAAAUUGUGGGGGAAAAAAACCUGAAACAGUGCCAUCCUUGAUUUUUAUUGCCAAUAAACGAGAAUAGUUUUAAGGAGGACUCAAAAAAAGAAUGCAUAAAAGCAACACUGAGACUUUUACUUACGAUAUCGGACUGGCCACUCUGUGAUUGUCCGUAUUUGUGUGAGUUUGAAUGAGUGUGCGCGUGUCCCGAGACUUUAUUUCGCAAGCCUCCACGAAGUCUGUCAAAGUUCCACGUUUGAAAAGCAACCGUCGCUCCUCCUAUUUUGUGAUACUGAAACACAAGUGUGUGUAUAGUGUAUGUCCGUGUAUUUCCUUCUAUCUGAUGCCAAGGUCAGAUCCCUUUUCUCGCUCGAUGAGAGAGAGGAUACAGCUGUGUGUGGGGGAAAAAAAUAAUCAGCACAAUGAAUUCGGUAGCCAUUUUUCAAUUGUGACUGAAUGUGGGUUAUAGCCUAAUGCAUGAGACCUUUUAAUGAACUAUUUUGUAGUACUUCUGUCCAAAAAAAAAAACACAAGCGCUUGGCUACAUGAAAAACACCAUGUUUCGGUUCUCUGUCCGCUGUAUCACCGUAAAUAUGAAAUCCAAUGUCGCUCGUAUAAGGAGAGGGUGGCACAAAGGCACCUUAUCUUGAAAUUGGACAGAUGUCUAUUUUUAUGAAUAGAGGCGGAUGAUUUAUAAGGGAUGCGUGUGAUUUUGAGCGAUGGCUGGUUAGCAUGAGGUCGCUAUCGACUGUGUACCGGAGCAGAUUGAUGGCACGGAGAAGGUCAUUCGGGUUCGAAACUCUUUGUACUUUGUUAGGUAACCGCCAUAGGUCUGCGGUCUCCAGACUCUCGCCCCACAUUUUGAGGAAAUCCAUCAUUGGCCCAAAGGAUAGAACAGCUUAUUUAUUCCAACAUCAAUCUCCUAAAUGAAAACGACAGGCGUUCAAACUGUGUAAACCCAAAGGGUACGCAAUCCAUUUUGUAAAGAGAAAAAAAACGAAGUGUCAAAUCAUGAGAGAAUGGAUUCGUUCUACCGUAUGUGGUAGACCACUAAACAUCACAUUUGUAGCUCUACUUGGAAAAAAAAAUAAUGUUAGUAAAGGAAAAAAAAUGCCAUUGGUACGCUGCUAAUGGCAAUGAAGACCCUCACCCACCUGUGUGAAACUGUGCUUUUGAUUGAGUGACGUCACCCUCGUUGUCAGUGCUCAAAGAUCCUGUCUACUCACUAUUUUCAAAUGGCACAUUGUGGUCCAACUCCUGACCUGAACCAAACAAAAACCUCAUCAAGCCCACUUGAUGGAGAACGUUUGACGAUGAUGAAAAGGUGUCUUUUGUUGUUGUUUUAUUUCAGAUAAACUUUCAGGUACGGGUUCAUUCCCCAAACUCAUGCACCGAGAUGUUUCUCAAUUCGCUUCAUGUUGAAUUAUGGUUUUCAAGCCCUGAUUCAAAAGUUAGUUGUCACUUUCAUUACGCUUUCCUUGACCUAUGUUUGUUACAACACUUCGCUGUGUUACUGCAAAUACACUCCGGUCAAGUGAAACAAGUCAUUUUAAUGUUCCAUCUGUGGAAACGUUUAGUGAAGUCAAGCACUGCCAGUUAAAAUAGUGGGUGUCCAUUUUCAGUAUACAAUAAUUCUAUGAUUCAGUGUCACAGUUAUGUCCCUAAAAUAUUGUAUUUUUAUUUCUAAUGGACAGGUAUUAUGAGCUGUAAAGUAUUUUUGUACAAAUUUAAUACUUUGUUAGCAUGAUGUUUAUCGUCUAUGUAUAAAUUUGGGGAUUCCUACAGCUGUAAUCCUUUGUAUGGCCGACGAACAGAGAAACAAUAAAACAACAUGCCGAGUGAAGAGAUGACACAGAAAUGCUCUUUU